GCAAAGGUACUGUUUCAUGCGUAGACAAAAGAGGCUUCUGCUUGUUCGCUCGGGGUUGGAGAGGAAAAUAUCUUCUCUCGUUUCCUUCCCUACGCACGCGAUCCCUGUCUCUCUCUUUCCUUUCCUCUCCUCCAACCCCCGUCCCUUUCCUGCUGCUCCGCCGCCGGCUCUUUCUCCGCCAAGUCCACCGCGCGCCGCCCGUGCCCAUGCCCUCCUCACCUCCCGUCCCGAGCUCCAUCUCCCCCAGCCUCGUAUACCCCGAUCUUCUCGAUCCGAUUUGGAUCUCAGGAGCACACAGGAGGGGAGGCGAGGUGCCUGCGCCGGCGGCAAGGGUGCGUGGGUGCGGCUGAUGUCCACGUCCGCGGCCUCGCAGGCCAAGGACGCGGCGGCCAAGGCGGCCAAGGGCGACAGGGAGAAGAAGGAGGUGGCGAUUACGUCAAGGACGCUCUUCGCUUGCUCUGCUCUGCUCUGGUUUUCCCGUUUCGAUUACGUCACCGGCGAGGGGUCGCCAGAUCGUAGUGUGUGUGCGGUUGAUGGGCGCUAUUAUUUUAUUAACAUGUUGCGCCGCCGCCGUGUGUGAUUGAUUGGUUUUGCUGCCGCAGCAGCCAUGGAAGAUGUUCGAGUGGCAGGGUGGCCCCAUCAUCCUCGCCCAGGUGGAGACGGGUACAUGGAGUAGGCGAUGGGCGGCGGCGCCGAGCCGUACACCAACUGGGCCACCAAGAUGGUCGUCGCCACUGACACCAGCGUGCCGUGGGUGAUGUGAAAGCAUGAAGAUGCCCCCGACGCCGCGGACAUCACAUCACCGAAUCAAGCUGCCAACUUUGGAGCCUGGUACUGGCACCAUAAAAUAUAUACUCUUAGCUAAUUCGUUCCUUUCCUUCUAUUAAAAUUGACAGAUUUGUCAGUUGUUCCCUUUGUAAUGAUGAAUAUAUUCGUGAUGGCUGCAAAAAAAUACCUGCAAUGGCUUCUACUGCAACUCCUUCGGCCCCAACUCCAACAGCAAGCCUACCAUGUGGACCGAGGCCUGGCCUGGAUGGUUCACGGCAUUUGGUGUCGCGGUGCCGCACCGGCUGGUGGAGGACAUGUCGUUCGUGGUGGUAAGGUUCAUUCAGAAGUGCGGUUCCUUCGUCAACUACUACAUGUACCAUGGACCGGACCGCCGAUGGCAUGUUCAUCGCGGCAAGCUACGACCAUGAUGCACCGAUUGACGAAUAUGGUACGCGACCAGUACUCUGAUUGUCUGUAACCAUUGUUGUCAUGGUGCGCAGGUCUGCUUAGGCAGCUGAACUGGGGACACCAGAGGAACCUGCACAAGGCCAUCUAGCAGGCCGAGCGGGUUCUCGUCUCCGGCCAUCCCUCCAAUCCUCCAUCCGGCGCAUCGGGAACUAUGAGAAGAGGAGGCCCUGGCUCGGACAACCGCCGCAGGGUCGGGUGCGCCGGUGAGGUCCCUGGGGUCGGCGCGGCGGGCGUGACCUCUCCCGCCUCCCCGCCCUCGUCCGCGACAACAAGGACCAAGAUGUAUUUACGGUGUUGUCUGGUGCGUCGUCAGGUUUGGUUGGUCGAGGCCGGGUAUGAGUAGCUCCUGAUGCUGAUGGAUGGAUGGAGAUAUCAGGGUCAUGUCGCUGGGUGGGCAAAGACCGGGGGUACAACCUCCUUUUCGGUAAAAAAAUGAGGGGUGAUGAUGAUGACUCUGGCUGACAUAAGCAUGUCUUGAGCAAUCAAGACUGCUGUAGCCUGUGGGUACUAAAUUAGAGCCCACCCUUACCUCUCUGGCAGCCUGUUCAAUUCAUUGGUGAUGUUGGAUGUUCUGCACCUCGGAUGGUCAUUCUGACGAGUGAUAACCAGGGCAGUUCGUCUACAUUGCGAUGGUUAUGUUAUGCAGCAAGAGAUCUGAGUGUUGGGCUUGAAGAUCAAAGACAAAACCGAGCCCUCUUUUGCUAUGCUACAAAUACACAAAUUUUCCUUAUUUAUUAUACAGUGUUCUUCUUUCUUUUCUA